rnacentral:rRNA from 1 species
GACGAACGCUGGCGGCGUGCUUAAUACAUGCAAGUCGAACGGACAGGCCCUGCUCUUGUUGGUUUCUCGAUUGGCGAACGGGUGAGUAACACGUGAGUAACCUGCCCUUGUCUUUGUGAUAACUUUAGGAAACUGGGGCUAAUACCGGAUAUGAUCUCCUGCUCCAUGUUGUUGGUUGGAAAGUUUCGGCGGUUGGGUAUGUACUCGCGGCUUCUCAGCUUGUUGGUGGGGUAGUGGCUUACCAAGGCUUCGACGGGUAGCCGGCCUGAGAGGGUUAACGGCCACAUUGGGACUGAGAUACGGACCAGACUCCUACGGGAGGCAGCAGGGGGGAAUAUUGCAGAAUGGGCGGAAGCCUGAUGCAGAAACGCCGCGUGCGGGAUGACGGCCUUCGGGUUGUAAACCGCUUUCGACGGUGACGAAGCGUGAGUGACGGUAAUGGGUAAAGAAGCAACGGCUAACUACGUG